rnacentral:rRNA from 1 species
UACGGAGGGUGCAAGCGUUAUCCGGAUUCACUGGGUUUAAAGGGUGCGUAGGUGGGUCUGUAAGUCAGUGGUGAAAUCUCCGAGCUUAACUCGGAAACUGCCAUUGAUACUAUAGGUCUUGAAUUAUCUGGAGGUAAGCGGAAUAUGUCAUGUAGCGGUGAAAUGCUUAGAUAUGACAUAGAACACCAAUUGCGAAGGCAGCUCACUACACGAAUAUUGACACUGAGGCACGAAAGCGUGGGGAUCAAACAGG